rnacentral:misc_RNA from 1 species
ACUCUCGUGCAUUUCGCUCCAUCAAGUGACGACGUACAAAGAGAGGAAUUUCAGUCAACAGAGAGGGAAAUGUCUAUUUUCCAUUUCCCCUUCCUCCGGGGGAACGAUGGAUACAAUGAUUUAGAAUAUACGGAAUUACAGGAUCACGAGGAGUUGUCGGAACGAUUCCGGAAAACCUUUUACUAUGGAAAACAACCGACCACUGACAGGCCUUCUCUCCCCCUUACAAACUUGACAGUAGAUUUUCUGAAUGCUGCAGUGCCAAAGAAACUGGGAAAAGUGGAUCACUAUUUUGCUGCAUCCAGUGCCAGGCAUUCUUGCAUGUCGCCCUGUUCAAUGAUGAUGGGAAUGAUCUACGUGAAUCGACUGAAGAAAAAGAACACAGAUUACCUGCAACAAGUGUCUUCCUCUGACCUCUUCUUGAUUUCUAUGAUGACUCGGAUAAAGAACCAAAGGAUGACUUAGGAGACAGUAAGAGAAUUCAAUUCUUCAAGUUGUUCAAGGACUUAAUUUCAUUUUCGUUUCCUGAAGUUCAGAAAUCUACUCCUGUGUCAAAUCAAAUGGUAUGUGCCAAAGGACCUUGCUUAUUCAGUGGACAAAACAUUAACUGCAAGAACGUAUCCAAACCACAAAACAACUGGCUGAUCAAUUCCCUCUGGAAACCAAUGGACUUUGAACAAACUGAAAGAGACAGGGUAAACUCAAGGUGCAAAGACUGUGGAGCAAGAACAAUGCCUAACUCUGGACGACCGGAUCGAUUCUGUGAUACAAGGACAGCUGCUGUGGACCGUGUAGUUGUCGCUCAGUCAGACGUCUCGUGUUGUUGUGAUCAUGUGACUGCUGACUUAGACAGGUCUUUGUUGUUGAAUGGGUUUGCCGACAUUUCGCUAGGAUUUCGUACUAUGUUAACCGAAUUCCCAUUAUUUGGGACCUAAAUGUAGACUACAUUAUCCAAUUAGACCAAAGUUUGAAGGAACUGAAAUACUGCUUGUUAAAAAUUUAGUCGUAUUUAUUUGCUUUUAAAACUAAUGUCCUAUAUCUGAAGGAAUGUUUUUGGUUUAUUUUAUAGACUUUUGAAAAGAGAAUCACAAUUUCUUACAUAACAUCAAACAUUUUUGGCUUGUACUGAAAGACAGCUCUAUUUGUUGUCCAAUAAAUUUUUAGAUUGUUUG